GAUGAACGCUGGCGGCGUGCCUAAUACAUGCAAGUCGAGCGAACGGACGAGAAGCUUGAUUCUCUGAUGUUAGCGGCGGACGGGUGAGUAACACGUGGAUAACCUACCUAUAAGACUGGGAUAACUUCGGGAAACCGGAGCUAAUACCGGACGAUAUUUUGAACCGCAUGGUUCAAAAGUGAAAGACGGUCUUGCUGUCACUUAUAGAUGGAUCCGCGCUGCAUUAGCUAGUUGGUAAGGUAACGGCUUACCAAGGCAACGAUGCAUAGCCGACCUGAGAGGGUGAUCGGCCACACUGGGACGGAGACACGGUCCAGACUACUACGGGAGGCAGCAGUAGGGAAUCUUCCGCAAUGGGCGAAAGCCUGACGGAGCAACGCCGCGUGAGUGAUGAAGGUCUUCGGAUCGUAAAACUCUGUUAUUAGGGAAGAACAUAUGUGUAAGUAACUGUGCACAUCUUGACGGUACCUAAUCAGAAAGCCACGGCUAACUACGUG
rnacentral:rRNA from 1 species